CCGAUUCUCAAACCUGGGGACUUCAUCUACGUAUUCUUUGAAGGCGACGCCUUUUCCUGCUUCGAAUGCGGCAGAAGCCUCGGAUUCUGCCUUUUCCUUGGCCGCCUUCAACUCUGCUAACUCAAUCUCCAUCCUGGUAAGCGCCUCCUCGACUAGCCUAAGCAAUUCUUUGCUCACGUUCGCCCUAUCUUCGGCUUCAGAACGGUGCUGAUCGGCAGCUCGAGCCCUUUCCGCUUCGGCUUCGGCUUUGGCUCGCGCAGCUUCCAUAGCGGCCCUCAUUAUCUUAAACUCGGCCCUGCUCUUUUGAUCGACCACUUCCGACUACAAACGGUCAAUCCUCUCAAGGGCGUCAUGUAGGCGGCGGCCUAAGUCGGCGAUCCUGCCAAUCGUCUGCAAAACGACUUGCGAUCGUUAGAUGCCAUAGGCAAUCAAAUCAAAACAAGUCAAAGUUCACCUACCAAAAGGGCCGACUGCGCAGAUAGGGCUAUGGCCACCAAAUUCGGCACGGCAUGAAAGGACGCCUUAUCAGCUGGUAAGGAGACUGACGCUGCCAGGCUCAAGGCUACCGCCGGGUCGGUAAUGAUGGAUGCAUCAGAAGGAAUCGGCAUGCCUCUAAUCUUUGGCUGAACAAUAAAAGGGACAACCACGUCCGAUUCUUCUAAGCAAGGCCUUUUGUCGGCAAGACUAUCUUUUGAACCCGCCUCUCCCUCGGUGCUACGCUUCUUGCCCCGCUCUUCUGGAAUCAACCGUUCAUCAAUGACCAGUUGUUCGACCUCUUUCGCCUUUUCGGCCUCAACAAUCUUAGCAGACUCUUCAAUAAUGGGUUCGGAAGACUCAACCAAGGCAGGUCCAGAACGAGCAGCCUCGACCUUUUUUCAGGCGGCCAUACGUUCGGCAUUUUUCUUUCGAGCCAUUUGCGUGAGGCUUUCCCCAGCCAUACCUUCAAAAAAAUCACCGGGUAAAUCUUCCAAACCUCCAAAAAUAUCUCCAAAAGAAAACUCAGCCCGACUCGAAGUGGACGGCGAGGUAGGCUGACUACGUGUGGCUGCCUCAAACGCUGAGUUUAGGGCCUCGCCAACCUCUUCGACCUCCUCAGCGAACUCUCUGUCUAGUUCGGCGACUUCCUCUACCACGGGCUUGACGUCUUGCCCCGAGUUAGAGGCCUCGAGGCCAACUUGUCUGAGACUCUUGAAGCUAGGGAAAAUAAGAGCCGCAAGCUAUCGAUCGCCGGAUAGAAUUGGAAUAUUGUCAACGGCCGAAAAAGUAGUGUAAGUAGGCUCGUAUCGAAGAAGUAUGUGGGCCGCUCUCCCUUGCUUCUGUAAGUUCGGACGACCGAAGUAUCCGAGUGCAGUCGCAACCUGCGAAAGGACCGCGUCGUCGGCAGAAACCAGAAUCUUCUUCAAAUUACUGCCUGCAAAGGCAAGGGGUUAGACACAGAGGGAAAGCCGAGUAAAAGAAAAGUUCAGUAAAACACGACAACCUGGUUCACCUCUUCGUCUGGGAAUAGGGUCUAGGUGAUCCUCGCCUUCACCAAAUUCCCAGUUCCCUUGGAUAUUGACCAUUACGUCAUCCACACGCUUGCCAGAACUGGCGAGCAUGGUUACCAAAUGAUGGUCAGUAUCCUUGGCCCUAAGAAAGUACUGCCCAAGCCGACCGGAGGAUUUGGCUAAAGCAUAGCAGUGCCGAAUGGCCGGAACCCCAAGGUCGAUCUUGAGGUGCCGGUUCAACUCUACGAUCCCCAUUAUGAUCCGAAAAAAGUUCACGUUGGGCUGAGAAGGAAUUAGACCCCAAUAGCGGAGGACGGCCCUAAGGAACGGAUGUAGGGGAAAGCGAACCCCGCCCUCUGCAAUGGAUAGGAGAGGAAAGACGAUUGAAUUUUGAUCCUCUCUCUCCAUAUCCAGACUGUUGUCCGUCACUAGAGAUAGAUGAACAUCGUCGUGGAUGGAAAAGUGUCGCUGGAAUCCGGAGACACGACCCUCAGAAAGGAGGUCUUUCAAGUGUUUGGCCAUUUUCACGGGGAAUAAAGGGUUCACCAAAAUGAAAGCGAUAAACAAAAAGUAAGAUUGCAAAGAAAAGAGAAGAAGACUUACGAGGAACAAGGGAGACGAGGGUAGAUGGAGAUGAGUUGCAGAGAAUGCGAGUCAGAGAAGGGAUAUCUGCUGGCGGUCUAAGAGUCUUGAAUACUCGAUGAACUGUGCAUUCGAAAGGAUUGAAAUUUCAAAUCACAAUAAAUGCGAGAUGCAAGGUUGAGGCGGGAAAGCGUAAUGAUGAACGAAAAGGUGUGCGCAUCCUGACAUAUAUAUUGGGGUACGCAAAGCUGCCUGACCUAUUUUAACCUUUCCAAUUCAAAACCGAACACGCCGAUUAACAUCCGUCAAUGGGGAGUUCGGGGGGGCAAUUGUGGGGGCUGAAUAAUGGAAAGAUCAGAUGGUGUGUAUCUUUGGAAGACUGAUAUUAAUCGGCUAUAUCCUACGAGAGUGGGGAGCCGAAUAGAAUAUAUGUGCUGAAUAAAGUAUAAGUACUUAGAGCCGAAUAAAGGAAAGGACAAUGAUUAAAAAGUAGGUCCUGGCCCCGAGGAUCAAGAAGAAUAGGUAUAAAUACAGGAACAACGGUUAUAGAAAAGUAUGUAAGAAUCACUUCACAAAACUGGUAAAUAGGCUAUCCUGAUCGUCUGAACUAACUUGUCCGUCGGAGUGCUAAUUCCGGCACCCCCGACCGGAGUGUUUAUUUCUUUUCAGGUGACUAGCUGAGGAUCACUAGCGUCUCCCAGGAUCCGAAGAGUAUUUCCAAACCACUUCCUCACAACGUACAUGAGGGAGAUUGUGGUGCAGUUCAAUGCUGAUGUGGCUGAUGGAAUGCAAUGGAACCUAUUGGUUAUGUGCCGGUGUUGGUGGAUGAGGACAUUGUGCUUUCUGACACUUUUGCAAUCUUAAUGUAUUUGGAAGAGAAGUAUCCUCAACAUCCAUUGUUGCCUCGUGAUCUUCAAAGAAGAGGCAUCAACUACCAGGUAUAAUGCAUGUA